rnacentral:rRNA from 1 species
ACGUAGGGGGCAAGCGUUAUCCGGAAUUAUUGGGCGUAAAGAGUGCGUAGGUGGUUUUUUAAGCGUGAGGUGAAAGGCAAUAGCUUAACUAUUGUAAGCCUUGCGAACUGGAAGACUUGAGUGCAGGAGAGGAAAGUGGAAUUCCUAGUGGAGCGCUGGCAUGAGUAGAUAUGAGUAGGAGCACCGGAGGCGAAGGCGACUAUCAGGAUUGUAUCUCAGACUGAGGCAUGAAAGCGUGGAGAGCAAGGAG